rnacentral:lncRNA from 1 species
UAAAUCUUGUGAUUAAAGUUGAAGUGUACAACUCUACUAUCACUAAAUUUGGAAUAACAUCUUACUGAUGUGAUAGAUUACCUAACCAUUUCAAAAUAAAUGAAUUUCCCAACUUUUGGAAUAGUGAAUCACUUUUGACGACCGUGUUGUUCAGACUAGCUUAUGUGCACCUCGACUAUUUCAUCAAAUACUUGAUAGACUGCUACUUACUACCAGCACAAGCAUAAGAUAACUCUACUUAUGAAAGCUUAAGCAGCAUCUAACAUUAUUGAAUUUGCAUUAUUCUGGU